UAAAAAGUCUCGAGAACUUUUUCAAAUUAUUUUCUUUUUCUUAGUAUUUAAUAUUUCAAAUCGACAAGCUUGGAGUUUUAUCAUAUUUUGUUCUUUCUUAUAAACUUCUGAUGUGUGAGUGUUGAUCCCUCAAAAUGUACCUCUGAUGUGACCAACAGAUCCCAAUACCAUUCAUAUUCACACAGGCUUGUUUUUGUACACUAGGACAAAUCGUUAGUCACACAUGGCCUCUUCCGACAAGGGAUGGUUAGGUUGCCCUUGGUCAUCGGGGCCAACCUCUUCAUAUGCUAAUGAUGGUAUCACAUUCAGCGUGGCAGUGGCCAAAGCUUGGCCUAAUUUGGGCCGUUGUUUACCCAGCCUGGGUCUAAUGCUCGUUCAUCAAGAGUGAUACGGUUCCCUAUCUUUGCCUUUGAGGAGGAAGGAGCCCCAACGAGGUUUAGUUGCAAUGAUUGAUUAGCUCUUUGUUGACUAUUUUGUUUCUCAUCAUUUCUACUAGGGCGUCGUAUGUAGUAAGGUUUUUAUUCUGAACCUCUUUCUAGAAGAGGGUAUUCAUGUUGAGGACUCUUCUUGACGCUAAGAGUGCUUCCCUAUCCGUGAAUUGUUAGCAGUAGGUCAUUGCAUCCGUAAACCAGGCUAGAUAACUAUUAAGGGUCUCACUUGGGACCUCGCCCUCCUUACUUGAUAUAUACUGGUUCAAAAAAGCUUUCUUCAUAUUUGACCACUUCUGACACUACCGAUUGGUAUGCAAUUAUGCCAGAUCUCUGCAGCACCAGUGAGGGUCAGGUGGAAAGUCCCACACUUCAGCACUGUCGAGGCUUCUCUAAGGGACAUGUGAGCUUUAUAACUGUAAAGGUGCUUCGCCAGAUCUCCCUUUCCUUCAUUCUUAGGUAUUCUUGGUGGCAUAAAUUGGCUCGGGAUGUAGGUACUUCUUAACUUCUGGGAUAACGAUAGACUUUCAUCAUCAUCGCCUAACUCAAAGGAUAUACAGGCCCCCUCCAUUCCCCCUCUUCAGCCUGAUAAAGAGGUGGUUGUGAAGUCCAGGCUUGAUUCUGUAGAUUUUCUGUAGCCCUCCUUUCUUAGCGGUCUAGCUUCAGGGUGAGUAGGCCCCUGCCCAUGUACUUGGUGCCUCUGAUCUAGCGGUGACAAUUGAGACCUAUUUCUAGGCCUUUGUGGUCUAAUCCUGUCGAAUACACUGACGAACCAUUGCAGUUCCUGUUCUUUAGUACCAGGGGAAAAUCUUUUGCUCCAUGUGACAAGUUAUCAUUGAUUCGUGUGGGGGUAUAAUUUGUGAACAUACCCAUCCCCACUUCCCUCUCUACGAGGCUUAAAUCUCUUUCAUGCCCAUUUGGAUAGCCCGUCGCUCAUUCCUCCUGCUGGGAGGCUCCUCCUUGGGGAGCUUGAUACCUUGUCCGUCCGUGCAUUUGUACGAGCAACUGUUGCACAAAUGGCGCUCUGUGGGAUAAAUUCCUCAUGUAAGUCAGCAUCUUCCCCACUUCUCUCGCUAAGCGAGCCGUAGUACCUCUCCGUCGACGUUGAUGGUAGGGACAGCGGAUAGUGACAUUCAUUCAAAUGGUCUUUUCUUCAGAGGCCUCCGACUGGUGUCCUCUGCCAUGAGAGCCGUAAUGACUGGAGCUCAUGGGAUAUAAUACCUUUGUGCUACCAAAUCUUCGACUGACACUUCCUCAAUGCCUUUUACUAUCCAUUUUUAGGAACUCGCACCUUUCUUCAAGGUUUAAUUGUAGGACAACAACUCUUGCUGACUUUCACCACUAGGAUGUUUGUGGUUUUAGUGCGAAUUUUCCACAGACGAUACCAAUCUAUUGACCCCUCAAAAUGUACCUUUGACGUGGUCAACAAAUCUCAAUACCUCUCACGUCCACGCAAACCUGUUUCUGCACAUUAUGACAAACUGUUAGUCACACAUGACCUCCUCUGACAAGGGGUGGAGUUGGCCGUGCGCACUUUCAUGAUCAAGUUAGUUUUGUUGCUCGAUAUCGGUGUGAGAAGGCUUUCAACGUGAGCUUCCAAUGUCUCAAAAAGGGAGGGGUCAGUAUUGGGUGAAAUGUGUUUAUAGAAAGAAAAUACAUAUAUUCUCAAAGUCUAAAAUUGCAUCAUCUUUAUAUGACACUAAUUGUGAGCUUUUAUAUUGUAAGAAUCAGGACUUUUAUAGUGUAAGAAUGUGACUAAUGACCGUUGGAUGAAGGGACAUAUGGUUCCAUCUUGACGGUUACCACUUCCCAUCGUAGGCGUCAAUUAACAAUGAGUUGUCAUUGUCACUAUCGUUCACUACCUAGGCGAGGCUGUGGACUUGACUCGAUAGGUUGGCAGCGGCGAUGGUGGCAACAUCACGUCAAUCACAUCAAAAUAUUGAUUGGGAGAUUUGGUGUUGGGGUCGUUUGUGGCCUUGCCUUGGUUCACUGAGAUCGUCCUUUGCUAGGGUCAUACAUGGGCUCAGAUUCACGUGAGUCCGACGUUGAUGAGCUCAGACAAGUGUCCAAUAAAGUGGCUCCCUGUUGACUUGGAGGAUCAUAAUAGCGAGUAUAAUCUGAAACGAGGAAAUAAUAAUAUCAAUACUAAAAAGCAGUGACUCGAGUUGGGAUACUCCGUUUUAAUAUUAAAAUGUAACAACAAUUUUGUA
rnacentral:lncRNA from 1 species